CAGCCGCCGCGGUAAUACGUAGGGUGCAAGCGUUAAUCGGAAUUACUGGGCGUAAAGCGUGCGCAGGCGGUUUUGUAAGACAGGCGUGAAAUCCCCGGGCUCAACCUGGGAAUGGCGCUUGUGACUGCAAAGCUAGAGUGCGGCAGAGGGGGAUGGAAUUCCGCGUGUAGCAGUGAAAUGCGUAGAUAUGCGGAGGAACACCAAUGGCGAAGGCAGCCCCCUGGGCCAAUACUGACGCUCAUGCACGAAAGCGUGGGGAGCAAACAGGGUUAGAUACCCGAGUAGUCCCUGUCUCUUAUAC
rnacentral:rRNA from 1 species